rnacentral:rRNA from 1 species
CCCUUAGAUGUCCUGGGCCGCACGCGCGCUACACUGACAUGUUCAACAAGCCUCCUAGUUCGACAGGAUUUGGGAAAUCUUUGAACGCAUGUCGUGAUAGGGAUAGAUCAUUGCAAUUAUUGAUCUUGAACGAGGAAUUCCUAGUAGACGCGAGUCAUCAGCUCGCAUUGAUUACGUCCCUGCCCUUUGUACACACCGCCCGUCGCACCUACCGAUUGAAUGUUUCGGUGAAGAUUCCGGAUAGGACUUUUUUGAUUUAUUUCAAUUUUGUCUUAAAAGCUAUCUAAACCUCAACAUUUAGAGGAAGGUGAAGUCGUAACA